UUGGAGGGCAAGUCUGGUGCCAGCAGCCGCGGUAAUUCCAGCUCCAAUAGCGUAUAUUAAAGUUGUUGCAGUUAAAAAGCUCGUAGUUGAACUUCGGGAUCAAUGAGUUGGUCGUGCCCUUGGUAUGAACUGGCUUUAUUGGUUCUCACCUUCUAAUGAACCAUAAUGUCAUUCAUUUGAUGUUUUGGGGAAUUAGGACUGUUACCUUGAAAAAAUUAGAGUGUUUAAAGCAGGCUCACGCUUGAAUACAUUAGCAUGGAAUAAUGAAAUAGGACAUCGCAUUCUAUUUUGUUGGCUUCUAGGAUCGAUGUAAUGAUUAAUAGGGAUAGUUGGGGCAUUAGUAUUCAAUUGUCAGAGGUGAAAUUCUUGGAUUUAUUGAAGACUAACUACUGCGAAAGCAUUUGCCAAGGAUGUUUUCAUUAAUCAAGAACGAAAGUUAGGGGAUCGAAGACGAUCAGAUACCGUCGUAGUCUUAACCAUAAACUAUGCCGACUAGGGAUCGGAUGAUGUUGAUUUUUUAAUGACUCAUUCGGCGCCUUACGGGAAACA
rnacentral:rRNA from 1 species